AAUGAACGCUGGCGGCAGGCCUAACACAUGCAAGUCGAGCGGAGUGGCGGACGGGUGUGUAAUGCCUAGGUAUCUACCCGGUAGUGGGGGAUAACGUCCGGAUUCGGGCGCUAAUACCGUAUACUAUUCGAUGAGCCUAGGGCGGAUUAGCUAGUUGGUUGGGUAAAGGCUUACCAAGGAGACGAGCCGUAACUGGUCUGAGAGGAUGAUCAGUCACACUGGAACUGAGAGACGGUCCAGACUCCUACGGGAGGCAGCGGUGGGGAAUAUUGGACAAUGGGCGAAAGCCUGAUACAGCCAUGCCGCGUGUGUGAAGAAGGUCUGCGGAUUGUAAAGCACUUUAAGUUGGGAGGCGUUACCAACAGAAUAAGCACCGGCUAACUUCGUGCCAGCAGCCGCGGUAAUUC
rnacentral:rRNA from 1 species